rnacentral:rRNA from 1 species
UCGGGAAUUUUGGGCAAUGGGCGAAAGCCUGACCCAGCAACGCCGCGUGAAGGAUGAAAUCCCUCGGGAUGUAAACUUCGCAAGAACGGGAAGAAUAAGCCGGUGUUAACACCAUCGGUGAUGACGGUACUGUUUGUAAGCUCCGGCUAACUCCGUGCCAGCAGCCGCGGUAAUACGGGGGGAGCAAGCGUUGUUCGGAUUUACUGGGCGUAAAGGGCGCGUAGGCGGCCUCUGCAAGUCGACUGUGAAAUCUCCGGGCUUAACCCGGAACGGUCAGCCGAUACUGCAGGGCUAGAGUGCAGAAGGGGCAACUGGAAUUCUCGGUGUAGCGGUGAAAUGCGUAGAUAUCGAGAGGAACACCUGCGGCGAAAGGCGGGUUGCUGGGCUGACACUGACGCUGAGGCGCGAAAGCUAGGGGAGCGAACGGGAUUAGAUACCCCGGUAGUCCUAGCCUUAAACGAUGAAUGCUUGGUGUCUGGGGUUUUAUAGUCCCCGGGUGCCGUCGCUAACGCUUUAAGC